rnacentral:rRNA from 1 species
AGGACGAACGCUGGCGGCGUGCUUAACACAUGCAAGUCGAGGGCACUUUGGGGGCAACUCUGGAGUGACCGGCGAACGGGUGCGUAACACGUGAGCGACCUUGCCUCGUGGUGGGGGAUAGCCGGCCCAACGGCCGGGUAAUACCGCAUAGGGUGGUUUUUCUGCAUGGAGAGACCAGCAAAGCUGAGUUGCAAGACUUGGCGCCACAGGGGGGGCUCGCGGCCUAUCAGCUAGUUGGGGGGGUAAUGGCCCACCAAGGCGACGACGGGUAGCUGGUCUGAGAGGAUGGCCAGCCACAUUUGGGGACUGAGAGACGGCCCAGACUCCUACGGGAGGCAGCAGUGGGGAAUCUUGCGCAAUGGCCGAAAGGCUGACGCAGCGACGCCGCGUGGGGGAGAAGGCCUUCGGUUGUAAACCCUGUUGCCCGGGACGAAUGCGUACAGUGGGUGCGUUGACGGUACCGGUGAGGAGCACCGGCUAACGUCCGUGCCAGCAGCCGC